rnacentral:rRNA from 1 species
CGUGUAGGUGGACUUGCAAGUCAAAGGUGAAAUCCCCGGGCUUAACCUGGGAACUGCCUCUGAAACUGCAAGACUAGAGUAUAGGAGAGGGAAGUGGAAUUUCCGGUGUAGCGGUGAAAUGCGUAGAUAUCGGAAGGAACACCAGUGGCGAAGGCGACUUCCUGGCCUAAUACUGACACUGAGGCGCGAAAGCGUGGGUAGCGAACA